CCUACGGGAGGCAGCAGUGAGGAAUAUUGGUCAAUGGACGAGAGUCUGAACCAGCCAAGUAGCGUGAAGGAUGACUGCCCUAUGGGUUGUAAACUUCUUUUAUAUGGGAAUAAAAUGUUCCACGUGUGGGAUUUUGUAUGUACCAUAUGAAUAAGGAUCGGCUAACUCCGUGCCAGCAGCCGCGGUAAUACGGAGGAUCCGAGCGUUAUCCGGAUUUAUUGGGUUUAAAGGGAGCGUAGGUGGAUUGUUAAGUGAGUUGUGAAAGUUUGCGGCUCAACCGUAAAAUUGCAGUUGAAACUGGCAGUCUUGAGUACAGUAGAGGUGGGCGGAAUUCGUGGUGUAGCGGUGAAAUGCUGAGAUAUCACGAAGAACUCCGAUUGCGAAGGCAGUUCACUGGACUGCAACUGACACUGAGGCUCGAAAGUGUGGGUAUCAAACAGGAUUAGAUACCCCAGUAGUC
rnacentral:rRNA from 1 species